UACGGAGGAUCCGAGCGUUAUCCGGAUUUAUUGGGUUUAAAGGGUGCGCAGGCGGGAUGUUAAGUCGGCGGUGAAAUUUUGCAGCUCAACUGUAAAAGUGCCUUCGAUACUGGCUUCCUUGAGUGUGGAUGAAGUAGGCGGAAUUUGUGGUGUAGCGGUGAAAUGCUUAGAUAUCACGAGGAACUCCGAUUGCGCAGGCAGCUUACUAAACCACUACUGACGCUCAUGCACGAAGGCGUGGGGAUCAAACAGGAUUAGAUA
rnacentral:rRNA from 1 species